AACGCGAAGAACCUUACCUGGGCUUGAACCGCACAGGACCAGCUUCAGAAAUGAGGCCUUCCCGCAAGGGACCUGUGUAGAGGUGCUGCAUGGCUGUCGUCAGCUCGUGCCGUGAGGUGUUGGGUUAAGUCCCGCAACGAGCGCAACCCUUACUCAUAGUUGCUACCCGCAAGGGAGAACUCUAUGAGGACUGCUCCGGAUAACGGAGAGGAAGGUGGGGAUGAGGUCAAGUCAGCAUGGCCUUUAUGUCCAGGGCUACACACGUGUUACAAUGCGCGCCACAAAGCGUCGCGAACCCGCGAGGGGGAGCUAAUCGCAAAAAAGCGCGCUCAGUUCGGAUUGCAGUCUGCAACUCGACUGCAUGAAGCCGGAAUCGCUAGUAAUGGCGCAUCAGAACGGCGCCGUGAAUACGUUCCCGGGCCUUGUA
rnacentral:rRNA from 1 species